CCAAACAGUAAAUAUGUGUGACGUUCCGCAAGGAAAGGGCCAACUUUGUCGGUAUCAAGUUACGUAUAGAGACAUGUCACCGGAUAAAUUUAUGAUAUUUUAAGCUCAAGAGGAACCCUCUAGGUUGAAAACCGAGUCGUCGGGGUUCUUUUGAACUUGGAACUUUAUAAACCCGUUUUUAUAGAAAAAGGAUGACUUCCAGACGCAACCCCAAAAUCAAUACUUUUGAACUUUGUUCACUAAAACGCGAAUAUCUCCUCAACUAAUAUUGACAAAUUAAGCUCUUUACUUACGAAAAUUCCGGUACAAUUUAUAAAGAUUACAAAAAAUUGUGCAACAUGGCAUUUCUUCAAAUGAAAUUGCUUUGCUUAAUCUAUCGAUUCAAACUGAACAACCUACCAUGGAAAAGAAUAUUUUGUAUCGAUUGAAACAAAGUCUGCACGCUGGACGGGCACAUUCUCAUCAGAAGAUGCGCACGCAGCUCGCUUCGCUCGCAAGUUUAAGCACGCGUUGGGUGCACCUCAGUUGGAUCUCGCGCUUCGUGCUCGAUAACAAAUUUUUAUGCAGCAUAGACAAAUGCCAUUUGAGUGAAAAAAACACCUGGAGAUAUUGCCGAGGAGAAUCCAGAACUAUCUUCA